AUGACCCUGAGGUUAUAUAAUUCAUUAACAAAUGAUAGUGGCUAACUGGCUAAAUGAUACUGGCAAAUGAUACUGAAAAAGAAAGCGAAUUUACAUUGCUAACACAGAAUAUUGAAAUGUUAUGCUUAGGAAUUGUAAACACUCCACUCUCCUAAUAUAUUUUAGAUGACUGCUUCUGUUUGGGGAAGUUAAUUACAAAAACUUGUUUUUUUCUAUUACUAUUAGUUUUUAUUUGUGUAUGGUAGAUCUUUCAGUUGGUAUUUUACUGCCUUUCAUUAAAAAAGAAUUCUGGAGAAGAAUAUAAGGGGAUUUGAGGGACAUGUGUUAGGUGGCAGAGAGUAUAGUAAAAGCUAGCCAGAUGCUUUUAUUUUGGUCUGUUGUUCAAUAGAAGAAGCAGGUCUAUAAAAGAGAAAGAAGGUAGACUAUUUUUAUAUUAUGAGUGAGAAAUAACAUGUUUAAGGACAUAGCUAAUUUUCAGUUGAUCUAUAUCAAUGAGUAGCAUCAAAGUGGCAGAUAAUGCUAAAAAACUGAAUUAAAAAAUGUCAAAUAUGGUAGUUCAUUUCUAAUAAAAGAAGUCCAAAGAUAUUGCUUUGAAAUAUAUUGGAAAAAGUGAAAGGUUGUUCAGUAAUUUCAUCAGGACCAUCAUAUAUUGUUUAAUAAAUGCUUUUCUCUGCCAUCACCCCUUUCCCUGCCCCACUAUCCAAUCCAUGUUUAGAUGGGUAUAAGGAACUCUGAGUGAAUAAAUUCUCUCUUACCAAUUCAGGUUGGCACUUAAGUGCUCUGCAACUUCUCAUUUUAGAAAGUUGCCUGGGGGUUCUGAGAGGUUAAAUAUUUGAAUCAGAUGUCACAGCCAGUAUGCAUCAGAGGCAGGACAUAAACCUAGGUUUUCCAGAUUCUGUGGAAUUGAAUCCUUAUUCUCCAUUCAGCUUUUUUUCAUGUGAACCUUUAGCUUUCAUCUCCAAAUACUGAGUAUCAGAUUCAGCAGAGGUGAUCUCUGGAAAAUUCCAUAGAGGAGACUGUGGCAAAGUAUUUAAUUUCAAAGGACCUUAGUUCAAGGAUGCAAGCUAUAUAAAAAAAUUUGUUAAAGGCAACUGAAGAUCUGAAAUCUGGAUUAAUUAUAGAACGAAGAACAAACUGUAUCUGAAAUUUCAGAUUUGUAAAGAGUUGUCAACAGCCAUAUAUUAACAACUGCUGGGGACAGAGGAAACCUAGAGAAGUGGGAAGCUAUUGUGUGGAAGACUGCAUAUAUCAUCCGGUUCAGUAGCUGUGUCAGUUGAUAUCAAUAAAAAAAUUAAGCAAACAAUACAGUCUGGAGUGUCAAAAGUUGGAAUUGGCUGAGCUAUCCAGGUAAGAUAAGAAUAAGAACUAGGAAUUUCUUUUGGUAUGGUAUAGAAAAAAAGAAGAUAAAAAAUGAAAGAACUCUUCUUAGCAUUCAGAUAAAAUUUGUAAAGCACUAUGUAAACCUUAAAAUGCUUUAUAUGCAGGGCCAUCUUAUUAAAUAGAAGGAGGGAUGGAAGAAAAUAGAACUGACCAACUCUUAAUUUGUUUCUGCUUUCUCUGCCAAGGAGAAUGAUGUUUAGGCUGGAAAAGACAGAACAAAAAUAGUUAAUUAAGAGUCAGUUCUCUAGAGUGCCAGGUCUGGGAUAGGAAGACCUGGGUUCAAAUCUGGCCUCAGAUAUUUCUUGGCUCUGGGACUGUGGGCAAGUCAUUUUAUCCAGAUUGCCUAGCCCUUGUAGAAAUAAUACUAAGACAAAAAGUAAAGGUUUUUUUUUUUUAAGGUCUAUUUUCAAUAUAAUAAGGAGAUAAUGAGAGGACACCUAAGUUACAAGUCACCAAGUCCAGAUUAACUCCAUUCUCAAGCAUUGAAAGCAUUGGCAGAUAUAAUUUUGAAUUAUCUUUGAAAGAUCAAAUGCUUCAAUUUCUUUAAAGGAAUAAAGUGGAAACAGUUGACUAUAGGCUAGUGUUCAUGAUUUUGAUUCCUGGCAAAAUUCUAGAACAUUAUUAAUAUCAAAAUGAAGAUUAGCCACUAUGUAGAACAGAAGCGUCAAACUCAGGGCCCUUCCAGCAUGGCCUGGACAAGAUUAAUAUAUAAUUGAAAAAUAUUGAACAAAAUACCUAAAAAUACAAUAAAACAGAGAUGUUAAUUUGUGGUUUUCUAAGUCAGUCUGUGGUUUUCUAAAUCAGGGCAGCUAGGUGCCACAAUUGAUAAGAGUGGUGGGUCUGAAGUCAGGAGGACUCAUCUUCCUGUUUGCCUCAGUUCCUCAUCUGUAAAAUGAGCUGGAGAAGCAAAUGGCAACCCAUUCUAGUUUUGGCAAGAAAACUCCAAAUGGGAUCACGAAUUGUCAGCUACAACUUAACAACAACAAAACAGUUGGCCUGCAGGGAUAAAUUUCCAUUUGUGUUUGACAUCACUAAACUAGAAAAGAAAGGGGCUGAUUUCAAAGGGCCAACAUUAAGGUCAACUCAUGCAAGACUAACUUAAAUGUAUUUCCUUUGUUAACUGGGUUAUCAAACUAUUAGGUCAGUGAAAUGCUGUGGAUAUAGUAACUGGUGUUCAUAUGGUCUCACCUCCAUUAGAUUUUGCACUCCUGAUGGUCAAGAAAUACCUUUGGUCUCUCUUUGCAUUUCCAACCCAACUUAGCACAGUGCCUGCCAUUUAGCAGGCACUUAAUAAUUGCUUAUUGACUGACUGACCUAAAUCUUAGCUUUUGACAAAGUAUUUCACACUAUUCUUGUGGAAUAGUUGAAGAAUAAUUAGAUUUGGCCAGACCAAAAGAACAGGAGUCAUUACCGGUGUGAAAUAGGGAAUGUAAGUUACUAUCCCCAUUUUAUAGAGGGGUGAAAUGAGGCUCAACUAGGUUGAAUGACUUGUCCACAAUAGUUAACAAGUAUAUAAUCACCUCUCAAGACUUCUUUUCUAGAAAACUCCAUUAACUCACAUUUAUAUGGUAUUUCAAGGUUUACAAAGUCCUUUCCUAGCAAUAGCUUUAUAAGGUAAGUGAUUGAAAUAUUAACCUAGUUUUAGGGACAAAGCUCCAAAAGGUUAAGUGACUCAUCCAGAGUCUCACAACUACUAAAUCUCUGAGUCUUGAUGCAAAUCUUGGUUCUUCUGAUAUGAACAACACAAUGUCCCAUUAAUGUGUGCAUCUAAUGAUUAUAAACUCCUAAUUGAAGGUAAGUAUUGUAUCUUUUUUUUUUCAAUUUUGUAUUAUGUCAUUGAGAAGUCUGAUUAGCAAAUAACAAAUACUUAUUAUAUAUUUCUGGAAUUGAUUAGGUUUUUACACUGCUUUUCUCACAGUAGUAUCUAGACCUUUCUAGAAGGGUUACUAAGCUAAAUUAUUGACCUCUAAGGCAACAAAAGAGGACUGAAAUGUAAAAAAAAAAAGUACAAAAAUUCAAAUGAUAAGAACAACCCAGAACAGCAAAAGAUUUAAAAUAAAGAUCAUAUCUUGCUACCUAUUGAAGAUUUAAUCCUUUAUUAUCUCAAAAACAAGUUGUAACAAUCACAGAAAAAUAUGGAAAGAAGUAGUAGUAGUAGUAGUAGUCUCUCGGUAACCGAGGAUGACGAUUGUCUUUGUGCGUUUUCAUCUAUGGUGUAUAGAUGAGUGUGCACAAAGACACUUGUGCGUGAAGGAGAUUUAAGUGGAAAAGUCGAUGCACAGAGACAGUCCCACUCUCUCGGCGUUGGAAGCCUGGGUCCAGUGGCACGAAAAGUCCUUACACCUGGAGACUUCCUCAGCUGCAUUGGAGGGCUGUGUUGUCUUUUGUGCUCCAACAAGCCCUAAGCACUGCACAGUGCUUUGCUGAUAGAUAGGAAGUACUUAAUAAAGGCUUAUUUGUUGAUAUUAUGUUGAUUGAAUCUCAAAAUACAAUUGAAAAGAGAUUAGCCUCAUGAUCCAAAUUGGAAAUAAUGUAGGCAUAAUUAAAUCAAUCCCUAUUCAAGAAGUUUUAGGAGUUCUCUAUAGUCACUAGGACAAUAUACAAACUUUUGUUGACAUUGAAGGUCUUUCACAAUCAGAAUGAUUAUCUUUUAUGCAGUCUUUCUUGUAGCAUUUCCAUCCCAGUCAGGCUGACUGCUUGUAGUAUACACCAUUUUCUACUUCUAAAAAUGAUUCCCCCAGGUUUUCCUAGAAAGAACUCCUUCCUCAACUUCACCUGUUGGAAUUCUUGUUUCCCUUCAGGAUUCAGCUCAAAGCCUCAACAAUUAGAAGCAGCAAGGUGGUGCAUGCUGAGCUUAGAGUCUGGGGAAAAGGAGCUCAAAUCUUGCUGCAUAUUUACUAUAUGUAAAUAGCUCGAUGACAGAAAGGGUAAGGAAAGAAGUGUUGCAAAGUAAAGUGACCAGAACAAAGGGAAGGUUGUAAACAGUAACAGCAAUAAUAUAUGAGGAUCAACUGUGAAUGACUUGGCUAUUAUCAACAAGGCAAGGAUCCAGGACAACUCCAAGAAUUCAUGACAAAAAGGGGUUAUCUAUCACCAUAGAAGGAACAGAUGGAAUCUGAAUGCAAAUUACAUAAAUUUUUCUACAGUCUGAUGACUGUCUACAUAGAAGAGACGAUUCCCUAUGAAGACAAUUCACAAGUAUUCAGGGAGGUGUAUACAGGGGAGCAGAGGAGACAACUAGAAAAUGAAGAUGAGAGAGGGAGAGAACAAGACCUGAGAAAGAGUCUUCAACCUUGAUAGGGACCGAGAAAGAGGGAGAGAACAUGAUUAUAGCCAACCACGAAGGCAUUUUCAACAGUGAUGAAGAACAAUACAAAUACACAGAAUAUACAGAAAGAGGCCAAAAGUGUCAUAGAGCAAGUAGAAGAAAAGAAGAGACAAGACACAAGUCAUCUUGAAGCAAUAGCAGAAGAUACCAUGAAAGUGAACAAGGGGACAGUCAGAGGAGACAUAAACAAAAAAUAAAGAAGAGCAAAGAAGGAAAAGAAGCUGGCAGUGAAACUGCCCCGUAGCAGAUAACUGAAGCUGCUUCUGCUAAAUAGGUCUGUUUUGCUUGCAUCAAUGCCAGAAACUGGCUUCUUUAAAUCUUGUCGUUUUUCUGGAUAACGUUUAGGAAAUUUUUCUUUUCAUAUUAUUCUGUUAGUAUACAAAGAAAAGCUUUUUUUUUUUUUCAAAAUAGUGAAUUUUUCAUGUAAAAAAAAGUCAGUCUGUGGAAGACACGGAUUGCCAGAUUAUGGGGUUUACAAUGUUAUUCCACAGGCAGUGGGUAGGCAGUACAGAUUUUCAACCAGUAAAAUGAUUGACAUUAUACAUGAAGAAUAUACAUAUAUUAGAAAGAAGAAGAUUUUGCAAGUAAUAAUCAUUAUAUUGUGCAUCGAUGAUUGCAAAGUAUAUUUUUCACAACCUUAUAACAUAAGUAGUAUAAAUGUUAUUAACAUCAUUUUAUAGAUGAGAAAACUGAGACUCAGAGAAAUUAGAUGAUUAUCCCAUAGCCACAUAGUUAAUAUCUGAGUUGGGAUUCUAAUCCAAAAAUCUUGAUUUCAAGUCCAACACUAGAGACCAAUGUAAAAGUCCAGAGUUCUUCCUGAUAACCUCUCCCCCUUGGCUUCAAGUUAUGCUUCCUUUUCAUGUUUUUCUUCCUCUCUGUGUAUUUCCUAUCCCCAAUCUAGUUUUUUAAUUAAAACAUUAAAAAAUGUUAAUAUAGAAAAAUUUUAAAUAUUGAAAAAAGAUGUAAGUUUUCCAUCAAAGUUUACAGGGCUCCUGAAAAUCUAUCCAUAGACCCCAGGUUAAGAAUCCCUAAUUUAGGGGGGCAAUUUCUUAUUUAAGUUUUUGAUUACCAUUUAUUUUUAUUUUACAUAUAUAACAAUAUAAUCUGUAACAGAACAAUAAUGUUAUACAUAUGAUUUGUUACAAAUAUGCAGUAAAUUUUAAUAAUAAGCAUAACCAAGGGAAACAAAUUCUCACAUUUACUAUAACCAAAAAUCUAUAUCUCAGGGGGCAGCUGGGUAGCUUGGUGGAUUGAGAAUCAGGCCUAGAGACGGGAGGUCCUAAAUUCAAAUUUGGCCUCAGCCACUUCCUAGCUGUGUGACCCUGGGCAAGUCACUUGACCCCCAUUGCCUAGCCCUUACCACUCUUCUGCCUUGGAGCCAAUACACAGCAUUGGUGGAUGGUAAGGGUUUAAAAAAAAUCUAUAUCUCAUUCUUUUUUUUCCCUUCCUCUCCCAUUCCUCACCCUUUCCCAAAAAGGCAACUCUGGCAUGGUCAGCAGAGGGGGAAAUCACUUCUCUUUUUUGUGACUCAUUUUCUUCCUCUUCCUUUUAUAUGGUUUUAUCCUAUGACCCUUUUCAGUUUGAAACUUGUUAUUUAAAUUCAAUUUUAUUUUACUUUUAGCUCUUCUCUCCUCCCUGCCCUUGCCUCUAUUAAGAAAUCAAGAAAAACAAAUCUCAUUACAAACAUAUAUAGUUAAGUGAAACAAAUUACCCUGUUAUCCAUGGCAAAAAAACAAAAACAAAAACAAAAAAAUCCACCACAUUCCUUAAUAUGCACAAAUGUCAGAGAUGGGAUCUGUAGACAAUCUUCUAUUUUAUCACUUUCUUAAACAGAGAGAUAAAACUGGAUAUUCAUUUUUUAAAGUGAAAUCUACUACAUUUCACUAUAAUGUUUAACCUCUCUAUCCUUAGGAUGAAAGGAUAGUACUCUACAUAAUUUUUACCUACUUUUCAAACUGUCUUGGGUUUUAGUGCCAUCAUAAGCUCAAUGCUACAGAAAAAUAGCUUCUAGGGCAACUCUUUCUUUAAGCAUUCCAUAUAUUUAAGUGUUAAUACUUUCACUUAAAAUGGGCUUGACUGAACCAGAAAAAAACAAUGUGCACACUGAUAUAUUUGUAUUUUUAUUGUAAUGUUAUUCAGUUCUGGAACAACCUGCCCUCUGUAAUAUAGUUCCACCUAAUUUAUUUUCAAGGAAACAAUUAUAUUAGAUGGGAGUAUGUCUAUAUUGUCACCUUGAUAUUUUAUUUUCUACUCAUUAGCAAGUGGUCUAAAUUAUUUUUCUAUUGAAAAAAUAUGAUCUACAUUGAGAGAAAGAACUGUGGGAGUAGAAAUGCAGAAGAAAAACAUGAUUUAUCACUUUUUUAUAUGGGUAUAGGAUUUGGGUAAAAAUUAUACUAUUACAAAACUGAAUAAUAUUAAGAUAGAUUUUGAGUGAUAAUACAAGUAUAACCCAGUGGAAUUGCUUGUCAGCACCAGGACAGGGGAGGGAUAGAACACGAAUCAUUUAACCAUGGAAAAAUAUUUAAAAUUUAAAAUAAGAUAAAAAUAAAUAAAAACCAAAUAAAUUAUUUCUCUAUUAAAAGAGUUCCUUUUAUAUUCUAUUUUGAGUUAGUGUGUAGUUUGCUACUAUAAAAAGUCAUUUAUAUUAUGCAACACAAGCCAAAACAUAUAGGAAAGACAGAAAAUAGAAAGCCAAUAAAAACAUACCCAAGAUCAUUUACUACCUAAACAAAAUAAAUUAUACAGUUAUGAAGCUGAUUUGUAUUACAGAAAGAAAACCCAUAAAAUCUAAAAGUAUAGUCUUUUCCCUAAGAAACAAAUUUCCCACCACCAAAAUUAUAUUAAAGGAAGACAAAAGCAAUCUACCAAAGAAUCUUAUGUUGUUAUUUUUCUAAAUCAAACUACAAAUCUUUAAAAAAUUUUAAAAAUGCCAAAUAACCCAGAGUUGCAUAACUUCAGUUAACAAAAAAAAAAUAGCUGCAGCUAGAAAAUGUGAUUUUUCUUCCCUUUGAAAAGGCAACACAGACCAUUGGUAUAUAUGUACCAUAAAAAAAACAACAGGCGUAUUAGCUACUACAGGGCAAUUCAGGUUUCCAGGGAGAUAAAAACUAUACUCCCCAAGGUCAGAAAAACGUUUUCAGGAAACACUGUAGCUGUUAAAGACAUUAAAAUAUACUAAUAAGGCCUGUAGUAGGAACAAUCAGUAAAAUAGAAUCUUCAAGUACAAAUAAAUUACCAACAUCAUUUACUUAUUUCUCAGAGGUGUUGCUACCAUAAAAAUAAUAAUUCAGAAUGAUGGGAUAAUCAUAUCUCUAGUACUCAUUUAUGUAGCAUUAAGAAUCAAAUCUUAAUUUCAAUAAGUUUAUUUAUUGGAGGCUUCCAGCUUCAAAAAUUGUAGUUACUAGGCUUUCAGCUGUCACCAUGAAUGGAAAAUUGAUUUUUUUGAUCAUUGUAAGAGGUGAUAAAAACAUUCUUUGUUGAGUGACAUUGGAUGAUAGUCGAAGAAGGCAGAAGGCCACAUUAGGGAAAAGCCUGAACUGCAUCUUGGAUGUGCUUGCUAUAAAAAAUGGCUUAUUUUUUUUAACUUGUUAACCACUGAAAAAUAGGUGGUUUUCUUUUUAUGUAUGUAGUUAAUUUUUAAAAUUGGUUCACUUUCUAGGUGUAAUUGGGACAAGAUUUGUAAUUUUAUUGGCAUAGGAAACUUCUGAGUUGAGGAAAACUCCUUCAUGGAAGGUGAACACCUUCUCUUAAAAGUAGAGUUUUAGGGAACUAACUGGCAAGCACUGAAGAGUGAAGAGAUUUGCCAAACUAGCCACACACAGCUAGUAUGUGUUAGAGGUAAGUCUUGAACCAGGUCUUCCUGGUUCUGAGGCUUGUUCUCUAUUGUGAUAUACUGCCUCUCUAUAUAAUUUCAAAAAAUUUUUUUAAGUAAGGAUUAGCCAUAUGAGGUAGGCAUUCUUCACAUGACAAGGAUUUAGUUAGGGUGACAAUACAUUUUUCCCCCUUCACAGAAACUUUACCUCUAAGAAUUUCUCUUUCUUCAGCAAAGAAGCCUCAAAACCAAAGAGUGAGAGGAAAUGUGGUACUUUGCUGCACAAUAAUUUUCCCCACAAUGUAGCAAUCCACAAAGGAAAACAUUUCACCCCAGUUAGCCAUCAAGAGGAUCACAUAAACAAGAGGAAACACCUUGCAGAGAAGCCCCUGAACUGGCCACUUCCUAGUAUUUAUUAAUUACCUUUUCAGGCAAAAAUAUUAUAAACCAUAACAAACUACUCUUAUUCCAGGCAUAAUUUAAUAAUUUAAUUACUUUUAAACCCUGGAAGGGCCCUUGAAAACCAUCAAGUCUAAAGUCUUCAUUUUAACAGAUUAGGACACUAAAACCCAGAGAGAUUAAGUGAUUUUUCCAAAGUCAUAUAGCUCAUAAAUAUCUGAGAUAAUAUUUGAAUUCAAGUAUUCCUGUCUUUAAGUCCAGUACCAGCUAGCUGCUUCUAAGUUCUCAAAAAACAUCCCAUCUAUCAUUUACUGUUGAAAUGGAGAAAAGAAUAUUGAGAACUACAAUCCAUUCAGGGAUAAAAGGAGUCUUUAUCUCAAAGGCAAUGAUGCAAAAUGGGAAUCACACAAGGCUAAGAGUCUAGAAAGACCUGGAUUUACAAGCAAGAGACAAAGGUUCAUGGGAGGUAAAAUGGAUGAUUUUUUAUUGUAUAAAAGGAAAAAAAUUUUGCAGAAACAAAACCAAUGUAGCCAAAAUUAGGAGGGAAAGCAGAUUUCUUUGAUAAAUUCUGAAGUAUAUAGAGAAUUGAGCCAAAUUUAUAAAAAAAAAUAAGAGCUAUUCACCAGAUAAUAAAUGGUCAAAGGCUAUGAAUAGGCAAUUUUCAAAGGAAGAAACAAAAAAUUUCCAUAUAAUAUAAAAUGCUCUAAGUAACUAAUAAUGAAAGAAAUGCAAGUUAAAAUACCUUAGAGAUAAUUAGCUCAAACAUGUCAGAUUGACUAAGAUGACAGAAAAUGUAAAUAAUAAAUUCUGAAGUGUAUAUAUUGUGGGGAAAAUAUUGCACAGAAAGGGUUUGAAAUGUUGGAGUGAAGAUUGAUUGACAGUGAAGGUAGUUGGAGAGGGGAGGGGAGAGUAGGAGAGUGAUGGUUGUUUUCAAAAGAACUCUUUCCUGAACCUGGGGAUGGGGAGGUCUCUUUGACUAUCUGGAUAGAAGUACCUCUAUUCCUGAAUUUUUUCCAACUGUGUGCUCUACCUGAAUUCCUGGGGAUUAUGUUAUCAAAGAAAAGGAUUUAAGGGAAGUGACUUGAACUGUAAAGGCUGGUCUUGAGGGGGCGUUAGCCUGAACAGACAAGCCCAACCAGCUCAGAAGGUCAGAUUCUCUUCUUCCUCUUGCUGUCUACUGCUAAAGACUUUGAACUUAACAAAGCUAGCAUAGAUAUAGUAUAGAAAGGAAUAAAAGAAACCCUCCACAAGCCUGUGAGGCCAGGCUCAGCUCAAAAGCUGAGAGAUGUGAAACCCAAUCUGUACCCUGAUACCUCCCCAGUUUGAACUUGUUAUUAAAUCAUCUUUAGUUGAAUAAGCACACUCAGAUAAUCUUUGAAAGGGUGAGGGGAGCCUGAAAGAGUUUCUUAGGGGAGAAGGUUCUCUGUAACCUCAAGUAUGCUAAAUCUUGAGGUGCCCAUCUGUGCCUCCACCCCUUUUCACCCUGGUAUAUUAUCUGUAAGAAUAAUAUUUUCUUACAAUAUAUACUGUUGGUGGAGUUGUGAACCAGCCCAAUCAUUAGAAUUCUGCCCUAUGGGGCUAUAAAGCUGUUUUAUAUCCUUUGAAGCAGCAAUACCAUUAUUAGGUGUAUGCCACAAAGGGAUCAAAAAAAAGGAAAAGGAACCACAUACCCACAAAUCUCUAUGGUGGCUCUUUUUGUAUUGGAAACAAAUUAGAAAUUGAGGGGAUGCAACUGGGGAAUGGCUGAACAAGUUGUUGUAUAUGAAUGUGAAAGAAUACUAUUGUGCUAUAAAAAAUUAUUAAAAGGGAUGUUUUCCCAAAAACCAGGGAAGAAGUUUUAUGAACCAAUGCAAAAUGAAGUUAGGAGAACCAGAACAAUGUACACAGAAUCAGUAACAUUGUAAAGAGAAUUAACUGUGAAAGACUUACUGACCAAUUCAAUGACCUACCACAGCUCUGAAGGAGUUGAUGAAAAAUGCUAUCCACUUCCAUUUAGAGAAGUAAUGGUAUUAGGAUGCAGACUAAAGUGCACACACACAUAAUACACACAUAUUCCCUUUUUAAAUUUUUCUUGCUGUGGGGAGGGGGAAUAUGAGUAAUGUAGAAACAUAUUUCAAUAGUUGAGGAAGAGAGAGAGGGGGGGGAGAGUAAGGGAGGGAAGGA